CCCUGUCGGGUUUUACCUCCCCCCGGGAGAGCUCAGCCCUGGAUCCCGGCGGGCGGCGGAGCCUCUCUGGAGCCCGGACGGGACAGCCCACCAGGGUCUGCUUCUGUGAGGGGCCGAGGCGUCAUUCCGCGAAGGAAGCUGCUGGAAGGUACACAUCUUGGGAGUUUGCCCUUUGAAGCUCACCUGUGGACCUUUUUUCCUUUCGAAAAGAAGCAUAAGCUGCAAUAAAAAUUUGGUUUCAAGAUAACAAAGUCAGUCCCCAAAAAUCAGUAUUGAGAGUCACUGACAUUAAAUGAUGAAGAUACGAGGAUGGUGUGGGGACCUUUACUCUUCGAAGAUGAGCUAUACAUGCCCCUGAAAAGGCUGUCUGAAGACAGGGGAAGGCUGGAGAUGGCAACUUUGGCCUCUGCCAAGUACUCGUGCUAUUUUCUGUAUGUGAUACUAUCUGUUUUGUAACUCAGAGGCAACACCACAUACCUAGCAUAAGGCUUGAACUCCCUUUGGGGUUAUCAAUUACUUACAUAGCCUUCCUCUAAGGGAAGGCUUGCAAGUGGUUCAUAUUCGACCCUUCCAUGUGAUAAGCAUUCAUGUGGGCUUCACAAUGUAACAGAGGUACACAGAGAUUCUUGUAAACAGAAAAUUUUAUAAAACUGUUAACUGA
rnacentral:lncRNA from 1 species